AAAAUUUUAAUAUUAAUAUUAACACUAUUAUUAAUAUUUUAAAAAAAAUCAUAUUAUUAUUUAUUAAUAUUAAUAAUAAUAAUAUUCGGGGUGGGUUCGGGGAUAGGGAUAGUAUUCCCAUACCCGCCCCGAACUCGCCCCAUUCCCGAAAAAUCGAGGAUCCCCAUCCCCAUUUCAGGUUUUCCCCGCGGGGACCCAAAUCCGCGGGGAAAAUUGUCAUCCCUGCAGGGUACGAGGUUAUUAGUAGCUGCUUUGCUUAUUGGGUCUAGGACAUGGAUCUCUAACCAUAUUGCUUCUUUGAAUGGUAUGGUUACGGCAGCCCGGUGCACGAAGCUCCCGCCAUACGGGGUCCCGGGGAGGAUCCAUUGUACGCAGCCUUACCCUGCUUUUUUGCAAAAGGCUGUUUCUAGGAUUUGAACUCCUGACCUUUUCAAAUCCUAGAUGGUAUGGUUAUGUUACUUAACUUCUCAGUCCAUAAACAAAAGUUCUCUUUAUAUUUGGAAUUAAUUUUACAGGACCACUGUAAAAUAUGCCCUAAAAUAGGACAAAUCAGCCUUUAUUCAAUGGUUGGUGUAAGUGUUUGCACCCAUGUUAAGGUAUAUCUCUCACUUGUAACUAUGUAUUUCAAGUAUUAAAUUAAUCUUUUAACAAAUAAUUUAGAGAUUUUGUCUCAUUCUCAUUGAUUAUCUAGUAGCAAUUGGUUGUAGCUUAACAAUAUGAUAAAACAAGAAAAAAUAAAUUAAGUUGGUAUAUGUUAUAAGAAACCAAUGCAUUAUAUAAUUAGACAAAUUAAUCAAUUAAAGUUAAGGUAUCAUGGUUAAAAUGAAGAGCAAAGGAAAUUAUAUUUAAUGUUAUUAAAAUCUAAAAGUGAGUUAAAAAUCUGGAUAUUGUGUCUAAAUCAAUUAGAGUUAAGGUAUGAUGGUUAAAUUGAAGACCAACAAAAAUUAUAUGUAAUGCUAUUAAAAUUUAAUAGUGAAAAAUCACCCUUACUAUUGAAUUGAAUGCUAGGAUAGGUUCAUAUUGCUUAUUUUAAAUCUAUUUAAAAGACUGGUUGUUGUUGCUGCUACUGUGUUUCAUUAUCAUAGAAUUGGAUCUUUGAAAAAAAAAAAAUUUGCAUAACAACACUCCUAACUAGUAUGUCUGUCUAAAUUUUUUGUUACGCGUGUUGUAUUAUGUUUAAGUUGAAGUAAUGGGAUUUAAAGGUAUAAUUCUAGCAUUGCAAAUUUUUAUUGCUUUCUAGAAUUAGUUAUUAUUUCCGUGAAUACGAUUUUGUAAUUGUAAGUUGGACCCCUGUAGUUAGGAGGCAAGUGAAUGUGCUAUAUGUUUCUAUAAAGGCAAUAUCUUGGUAAUUUACAAACAUUUGUGGGUUGUGUUAAUAGCCUUAAUACUUUUCAUACUAUCACAUCUGAAAGUCACUUGUUAAGUGGAUAUAUCCCAUAUGCUAUAAAGUUGUUGUUUGGGUUUUAAGUUUUUAGUGUACUAUUUAAGAAAUGCAAAUGAUUCAUUGACCAUGUAAUAGUACGGAGUAUUCCCAGGAAUUUGCUUUUUGCAAUGGAAUACUGAUCAAACAUUUUUCUAUUUGAUCUUCCAUACUCAUUGUUGUGGUAUCAUGGAUCUUGUUAUUAUUAUUAUAUUUCCGAUCGAAGGAUCGAGCUCCUCUCCUCGAUCGCGAUGGGAUGGGUCUUUUGACACUUCUUUAUUCAUGAUAUUCUCGGGGUAUUCUCGGUCUUUUCCUUAUUAUCCUCUCGUCCGAAGGAUAUACAACUUUUAGUAUUCAUGGCCUUCUGAGGGUAUUCUUGGUUUUCUUCUUAUUAUUCUUCUGACCGAGUGAUCAAGUUCCUCUCCUCUUCCCAAUCGGGAAAGGAUGGAAUUUCUAUUGUUUGUGGCAUUCUCGUGGCUUCUUCAAUCUUCCUAUUGUUAUCCUCUCAACUGAGGGAUCGAGCCCCUCUCCCUCUUGGUAUGAAAGAGACAUCUGAAUAUUCUUGGUCUUCUUUGGAUUCUUGGUAUUCUUAUAAUUAUCCUCUCGACCGAGGGAUUUAGAUUAUAAUAAUCAUUAUUUAGGUAUCUCGGGCAUUUUUAUUGACCAUGGGAUCAUGAUCCUCUCUCCGGUCGGAUUAUAAUCAGUAUUAUGCUAUUUUGGUCAUUCUUAUGCUUUAUGGCGGUGGGAUUGAACUAUUCUCCUUGGACAGAUUAUAAUCGGUAUUUAAGGAUUCUAGGCAUUCUUAUAUUUAUUAUCUUCAUGGCCUUGGGGAUUUAGUUUUUCUCGUCGGUCAGAUUAUAAUCAAUAUCCAGGUAUUCUGGACAUUCUUAUUCUUUACUGUGGGAGUAAGCUUGUCUCCCCGAUAGGAUUAUACUUAGGCAUUCCAACAAUCUUCUUAUUAUUAUCUUCAUGGUCGUGAGAUCGAGUUUCUCUCCCUAAUCGGAUUAUAAUCGGAUUAUCUUCAUGACCAUGAGAUCGAGCUCCUCUCCUCAGUCAGAUUAUAAUCAGUAUUCAGGUAUUCCGGACAUUCUUAUUCUUGAUCGUGAGAUCGAGCUCCUUUCCCCAAUUGAAUUAUAAUCGGUUAAAUUACUUAACGAGUUUAAUUGAAUCAUGUUUUCUAUGUUAUAGAUAAACUUCUUCCUCCUAUUUUGCAAAAUGACUCGGUUGAUAGUCAUUGUUUAAUCUACUAAUGCUUGUUUUAUAGACUUGCUAGAUACCAAAGUUAGCAAAGACCUAUGAGAUGGAAUUGAAUGAUUAAAGGGUACUCAAAAGUAAAUUUUCUAGUAGGUUAUACUAGAAAAUAUAACAUAUGUAAGCUCCCAAAUUAUAGAUAAAUUUUGGACCCAUUAAUUGUAGGAUUAUUUGUAAAUAAAAAAAGAAAGCACACUAUAACAUGUCUGACAUGAAUUUUGAAACUUCAUCUUGUGAAGAACAAUAGAACUUGAGCACAAUAUUACAAUUUAAUCAAUUGUUACAUUUCUUAAAUUCAAAAUCUGUUGAUGUCUAAUCAAAAUUGAUAUUUCUAGCAUCAUUUGCUAGUCAAACAUCGAAAGACAACUUUUAUUCUUACUUUGAAGGUACUUCUUUCCACCCCCAGGGAGUAGCACUGAUGGUGGGCACAUGACAUCUUUAGCGUAAUGGUCAGGGGUCGAUUCUCAGGAACCGACGACCUGGAGUUUAACCCACCAUGCGCCUGACACCUAUGUACCUGCAUGUACCUCCCUCCAUAUCUGUGGGGCUGACACUAGGAGAUUGUUAAUGUAGCGGAUCUACAUUUUUGAAUGUACUUCUUUCCAUUUUUUACUUGCUCUUUUGCUAGGUACUUCAUUUUCUCAGUGAAGGAUAUGGAUGAAUGGCCCCAAAAUCUAGAAAUUUUCACCAUGAUCAAGACCUAGUCCAAUUAACAAAAAGACUUAGGCCUUGUGCUGAAGUGUUGUAUAUUAUAUUAUUUGAGAACUAUAAAGAUGGUAAUUCUAUUCUUAUUCCUUUAAUUUUCUCAAUUUAUAAUUUAUAUCUUUUCCAUGAUUCAUGUUAUUAUUUGUUUUGUAUUCUCAUCUCUUGUCUCUUGUAGUUGUUUCCAUUCUGAACGCGUUGCCUUUAGAAACUAUAAUUUCUCAUGCAAUGCUUCUAAAAGAUGUUGCAUAUACUGCUACCAGGCAUGUCUACUAUGAGUUCUCCAAUUUCCUCAACUUCAGUGACGGGUCACUAGGAGACGCAGUGCAUGUGGAAGGGACUUGGAGAAUGGGGAGAAGAAACCAACUGAUCCUCAGUUGACUGGAAUUGGUUGACUUCAACACUGGCAUGGGAAGAAUCAAAUAUCAUGAAGACUCUAAUCCAUGAAAAGAAAGGCUGCUACUGCCCAUGUCAAGCUUCUCUAUAAUUCCAUCAACAUUACCACUUGAGAAUAUAUGUUCUCCAUGCUGCCCCGUCACAUUUUGCUCAGGGGUUGGCUGCUUAACCCCAUUCAUGAAAGAUUUUCCUUGCCCUCUGCCUGUUCUCAAGGAUUUCUUUUUAGGAGCCACCACGUCAUUUAGGUGCUCCCCAAACUGUUGUAUCAUCACUUAGUCAGUCUGAUUGCUGUCAUGCUGCUUCUGAGUUUCAGUUGCAAUCAGCUUGCUGUAAUGAUGCUGCUGCUGGGUUCCAGAGUCAGUGUGUCUGCUGUUUGCCAAGGUUGUGUUUGCAUUCCUCACCUCUCCAUCUCCCUUUAGAGUUUGUUGUGCCACCUCUGCUACUACCAGCUCCAAUCCUAUAGGCUACAUUGUUCAGCAUGAUGACCAAGCUGGCGACAUUUGGUGCAUAUCUUCAAUAUAGAUUCAAAGCACAGCUUCAAUUUAAUGUCUCGGCCAUCCGAUGCUCGCAUUUGUUUCCGAAGGAUGAUGAUUCACUCUAUGAUGGAUUUCUAGCAAGACAUUUGGAUGAGGUUAACAAGAUUGGCAAAAUUAAUCUUGCUUCAACUGGUGAAGAUCUAAUGGAUAAUGAAAAGCAAGAUGUUGCUAUUGAUCUAUUUGCUUCUUUGGAUACGGAGAGUUAAGCAAUCAAAGAAUGGGUGCGAAAAGUUGGAAAUAACCAAAAACUUGGUUUAUUAAUGGGCUUCCUUUCUGUUGAUGAUUGGUCUAUUAUUAUUAUCCAUUUUCUGCUCUUUCUGAUCCGGUUAAACUCUACAAUGAUCUUAGAUGGAACAUUAGUAGACCCCAAGGUUUUGAAGCAGUGAUGCGUGUUAGAUGUAGCUGGGGUCUUGAAGUUCAAGAAUACUCUGGAAAAUUUUGCAAAAGUGUUCCUAGUGAUAUUGAUCUUCCUGUGUGCACUUCUUUAUACCACUGUGUAUGGGCAACGAAGGAUUUGCGUUAUUAAUCUCUCCCUUACUUGCACUGAUAAUAUCAGCAGUUUGCAGCAGUUUGUGCCAAUCCACUAAUUUGGAUGCUCAGUUUACUUGUUUGCUCAAGCAAGCUGCAUGCAGCAUCCCUGUGAGCCCUCUUUCUCAAGUAAGGCAACAAAUCACUAAUAUCUGUAUCAACAUCCUGCAUUCCCAUAGAAAAUUUUGUGCAACAAUAUCACUAUUUGCAAGGAUGAAGUCUAUGUCGACAUCCAUUGAAUCGAAAAGGAACUUGGUUGCAGCUGUGAUGAGGUUCCAGUCGCUAGUUCCCACUAGGUGUCGAGGUGGUUUUAUAUUAUCGGACUUGUGUUUCCUUGUUAGCGAACUACAUACUUGUGAUGUAUGUGUUUUACACUUUGGAUUUUAUAUCGUGCUCGGGUAUGAUGCCCAUGCUUCCGUUGUGAAGGUUUUCCGUUGUGUUGUGUUUUCCUCGUUGUAGAGUAGGUUUUUACCAUUAUAACUGCGUGGUUGUGUCAGCCGGAGGCUGAAUUAUAUAAACUACGUGGAAUGCUUAUCUUAUUUCAUUAUAUAUGUUCCGAUCGUGUUGGCCGAGAUUUAUGAGCCCUGAGGGCUUUGUAGUCAGUUCCAGAUUGUCAUCCGUACAGGGGAGAUGCUAUCGAAAUUUCCUCUGGCAGGGACUCCCCCGGGGCAUGACAUCCAUAUCAUGUUUUUCCAACAAGACCAUAAUGUCAAUCUUCUUCUGCCCUAUGUUCUUCAACAAAAUUGAAUGACCAUUCUCAAGAUUCAAGACAAUCUUGUGAUUCCCCACCAAGGGUCAUCUUCCCAAGUUCUUCAUCCUCAGUCUCGAGUGACUCAUCCUUUAGCCCUAUUCAGAGAUUGGUACCUUUAUUAUUUGAGGGGUCCUAGAUUUUUUUGGGGAUGUGAUCUUUCGUCGGAGACAUAAUAUAGAACACAACGACAAAGGAAAAUGAAACCCUUUUAGCCAUCAUAACAGCUUAUGUACAGGGCGAGGAUGUAGCCGCUAGAGGAAGAAUGUUACUAUACACUUUUGUUAACAAUGUUGACAGUUUUCAGAAUGUGGAAUUAUUAAAUUUUCGAGGUUUACUUGAAAGAGUUAAAGGGUGUUGUGUCUGCCAUAGCUUCUCUCCAAGGUCAUUUGUUGGUUUCAUCUGGCCCUAAGAUCUCCUUGCACAAAUGGACUGGUACUGAGUUGAAUGUUAUCGCUUUCUAUGAUGCUCCUCUUUAUGUAAUGGAAUAGAAAACAUUGUCAAAAAUUUUAUCUAGUGGGAGAUAUUCACAAAAAGCAUCUAUUUUUAAAUUGGAAAGAGCAGGGUGCUCAUUAUUAGCCAAGGAUUUGCUUCUCUUGAUUGUUAUGCAACUAAGUUUCUGAUAGAUGGAAGUACAUUGAGCCUUGUAGUUUCAUAUGAUAAAAAAAAUAUUCAGGUAAGGUGCUCGCUCAACUAGUGCUAGUAGUAUGUUGGAUAUUUGAUUAACAUUGUUAACUAACUAGGCACUUCCCUUUUUCCAUAGCUUUUUUGUUUGUAAUGCAACAUAAGUGCAAUUUGAACAUGUAUAUGAUAAUUUCCUAAUUAAAUUUUUUACUAUUCUGCUAGUCAGACAUACUUACGAGCGUGUUCACUGGUAUAUGACUCCUAUCAAAGACAUCUAUGAUGUGCAUGUGUUUGUUGUAUAUUUUUCACAGAACUUGUAGUCAAGCACCUGAGCUUGUUCAAUGCUUUAAUAUUCUGUUGCAGAUAUUCUAUAAUGCUCCAAUAACAUUAGGGUUGGAAAGGGCAGAAGCUUUUGUCUAGAGUUGAAUUUCAUGCUGGGCCCACGUGACAAAAUUCUUGAAGCUGUAGAUGCUCUCCAUCUCUUCUAAUCAAACCAAUAUAACUCCUGGUCAUGACAAGACCAACUGGUUCACCCUUCUAUUCAGUACACUAGAUGUGAGCAUUGGUUGUAUUGCACCAUUGGAUGAACCAUUCCACAGACUUCAAACCCUGCAAAAAAAAAAAACUAGUAGAUGUUCCCCAUACAUGUGGCCUGAAUCCAAAAUCAUUUCAGUAGUUCCAUUCAAAUGGAAAGGCACAUCGUCCUAUCCAGAUAAUAUGGUUGAUUGUGAGCUUCUUUCCUAGUAAGGAUUCUUUUCUUCAUGCUUAUGAUGAGAAUAACUGGUAAAUUAGUUUCAAAGAUGUUAGGUAACUAUGGCUACUUUUUAUAUGAAAAUUAGUGCUGCUCAAAGUUCCUUUUUCUUGUGUUUUGAUGAUGGCUUGUUAAUCUAUAAUUUUUCAGGUAUAGAUUUAUUUGAUUGAUGUAUAGAUAAUAUUUUCUUUCAGAUCAGAUUUCUAUUCAAGUAACGUACAUGAUUAGGGUUGACAAAAAUCUCUUGAAACAUGUAGGAAAGCAAUUUUGUUACCUAAUUAUUCUUAUCAAAUUAAGUUUUAAGAGUAAAUGCUAUUUAUUACCCAUGAGAAAGCAAUUGCAGUGUAUAAUAUAUACAAGGAAAUAACAUUUUGAUGAGCCUUAUUUAGCAACACAGCUUGGAGAUUGGGAAAUAGGAUUAGGAAGGAGUUUGUGUUGUUUCUGAUUGGGUAGUGUUGAGUGCCCGAGUUACAUGCCAUGUUCUAUAGGCAGCAAAUUGUUCCUUAUAGAAAUGAGUGGAUAAAAUUGUUGAUUUGGAGCUGCAAAUUAGCCAUAGAUUUGGUUUGGUGUGAUUCUUACUUGCCAUUCUAAAUGUUGUACAAUCUUUUCCCAUUUAUAGGUACGAAAUGCUGCCACUAGACAAAUGGAUUAUCACGACUCGUUCACAAAUUCUUUUAAAUUUAAGUGAUCUUUCACUUGGCACAAGUUUCUUGUGAUUGAAUGUGCAUUUUAAAUUUUUGAGAACUUCUCUUGCAUCAAUCUAAUGUAAUGAACUAACUUUUCCGAUGGGAUACUUUGCCCAGUGGCAUGCUAAAAGGAGGACAACUUAGUAUUCUAACUGAUCAAGUGUAAUUUGACAACGAGCCCCAGUGAUCAAGAAUGUUUUAUUGUGGACCACUACUAUCAGACCCGAUACUUUUGAGUAUACUGCCAGGGUAAUAUGCUAAAAUGCUAUUGCCAUGUGUGUAAGUCUGAGUAAGGUGCAUUUUCUUUGGAUAGAAAUACUUAUCAAAUACAUUUAUUUGUUUAGGAUAAGUCAGUUGAUGUUCGCUAGGGUGUGGAGUCAUGUAUUGUUGAAGUUCUUAGAGUCUAUGGACACAAGGCAUUAUGUGAACCUUUUUAAAAACAUUUGUUCUAAUUUUCUUGAUGACAAUGAUGACAUGGAAUAUCACCACAUUUUUCCUUCUAAUUUUGCAUACUACCAAAUGUAUGAAGGAUGUGAAGGGACCUACUUUGACAAUUGUACUUGAGUGUAAGGCAUCUAGAGUGAUUGAAGAAUUUUCAGAUUCUACAAGAGUGAUUGUGUUGGUGAUUCUACUUCUAAGUCUACUAGAAGAAUGGAAAGCUAGUAUCAAAUGUUGGCAAUGAGUGUAGACCUAGCUAUAAGAUGACUUCAAUGGUGUGCUCUUCUCUCUAGUUGAGUGAUUGCUCUAGUGGUCUGACUUCCAAGUCUACCAUGAAGAGUGGAAAGCUAGUAUCAAAUGUUGGCAAUGAGUGUAGACCUGGUAGUAAGAUGACAUCAAUGGAAGAUAGGGAGAAACUUAUUCCUCGAAGAUUUAAAUUUGAGGAGGUAGGAGCUGGAGGUUUGUUUCUCAAAAGAUCUGAAGUUAUUUUUAUUUAUUCUUUUGACAUUGGAGCUUGCAUAAGACCACCCUAGUGAUGGAAGAAAAUGUUUGAUAAGAAAUUCCUAUUGACAUUGGAUAUAUUUAUAUAUUAUAAGCUAAAAAACUUGAAGAAGUAAUUAAAAUUGUAAUAUGACAUUGUGAUCUACUUUAGUUCUUUGACCUCUUAAACAAGAGUAAAUCCAUCCAUAUCUUUGCAGCACUCUUGAAGGAGAGCCUUGGCGCAAUGGUAAAGUUGUUAUCGUGUGACCUAGAGGUCAUGGGUUUGAGUUUCGUAAAUAGCCUCUUGCAAAGUAAGGUAAGGCUGCAUACAAUAGGCACUUCCUCGGGACCCCUUAUUUGGAGGAGCUUUGUGCACUGGGUUACCCUUACUAUCUUUGCAAUACUCUUCCUUUCCUUAUUUCCUUCCUCACCACAAGUAGACAUGUUCUUAGCGAAGAAGAGGAAAGGAAUGAUUUGUGGGUUUUAUAAAUGUUUGCGUAGAGAAAAUGGCAAAAAUGACUAGUAGCCAGUAACCCAGUGGUGUCUAGCUAUUGGGUCAUAGUACUGUUAUAACUAGGGGUGUAAACGAAUCGAAUCGAGCUGAAUAUGCAGAAAAUUUAAGGCUCGAAUUCAGCUCGAAAUAGGUAUCAAGCUCGAUUCGAAGCUCGAAAAAUUCAAAAUGUUUGGUUCGAGUUCGGUUCGAAUUAGGGCUCGGGUUCAAGUUCAGCUCAAAAUAUUCGAAUAUGUUUGCGAACUAUUCGAAUAAUUGCUCGAAAAUAGGUUCGAAAGGCUUGAAAUUUAUUUAUUUAAUAUAUAUUCAACUUAUAUUAAUAAAUAUUAAGACUUGCGAGCGGCUCGAACAAUAUAAUUUGGGCUUGUGUUCGGCUCGAAAAAAAGUUCAAACAUGUUCAAGUUCGGCUCGAAUUCAAUAGAUUCGAAUAUGAAUUGAAUAUUUUUCGAGCCGGCUCGAAAAGCUCGUGAGCCAGCUUGAUUCGUUUGCAGCCCUAGUUAUAACCACAAAAUUUCACCUAUCUAACUCUGCAUGUGCCAUUAUUCUGGAUAAGUAUAUCUCACUACAAGUACAAUGUCCUAUUUUUCUUCUCAUCCAUCUAUAAUUUACUUAUUUUCAUUUUCAUUUUUUAUUGUUUGAUAUUGUUCUUACAACGUUUAUCUAUCAAUUGAUUCGUCAUUUAAUUCAAUACUUCAUUGUUCAUAAGAUGGAAAAUUUGUUGAGCAGAAAAUAGAUGAAACUACUGUAAACAAUGUCUUGGAGAAGUCUCUUUACGGAAAUAGGUACAUGUAUAAAAACUGAUUUGAGAGCGAAAGACUCUCAAACCGAAUGUCAAAAGAUACAUCAUAGUUAGGAAUUUAUCCUCUCAGUCGAGGUAAAACUCCAUCAUCAACAUACAAUUCACUUACUUGCUCAUGCACCCAAUAUAACAUACACCAUCACAACAUGAGCAAAAUCAAACCAAACACCUAAUCUUACACUCACACAACACCAUGAAUGAAUUACAAAUGGUGAGCACGUGUUGUGGAAAACAAAUCCAUGUCAAAAAGCAAAACCAAGGUGUGAAGCAAAUGAACCUCAGCCAUAUCAAGUCACGGACAGAUGCAAAACCAAGGUACGAAGCAAUUGAAACUCAGCCAUAUCAAGUCACGGGCAGAAGCAAACUAAGGUGUGAAGCAAUAGCAGGAACAGUGGGUUCACAUCCGUCCACAGAUUAAGCCAUCUUGUACACCUUGGAUUAGAAGAGACGGUGAACUUCAAAUAAUAAGCAUCAUAGAUCGUGAUCGACAAGCAAAGCAUCUCAUCAUAAAUCGUCGCCCCACUUUUAGCAAGUGAUCAGCUAUCAACGGAUUUACCAUGUCUUUACCGCGAGCCGUUUGCUGCGGACUAGGUAGAUCCUUAUGGUGGAUCUACGAACCCUUUUGAGCUUUUUGGCAAAACCCCAACCAUCAACGGAUUUGGUGUUGUCCUUACCGCGAGCCGUUUGCUGCGGACUAGAUAGAUCAUUAUGGUGGAUCUAUUCACCCUCUUGGAUUUUUUGGCAAAACCCCAGCCAUCAACAGAUUUGGUCAUGUCUUUACCGCGAGCCGUUUGCUGCGGACUAGAUAGAUCAUUAUGGUGGAUCUAUACACCCUCACAGACUUUUUGGCAAAGUCCCAGCCAUCAACAAAUUUGGUCAUGUCUUUACCGCGAGCCGUUUGCUGCGAACUAGAUAGAUCAAUUAGGAUGGAUCUAUUCACCACUAUUCUCUUCCAUGUCUUAUAUAAAAAUAAAAACAAAUAAAAGACAUGCAUUAAAUUCUAACAAACCAAUCAAAAAUCGCCACUUUUAAAUUAGCCAAGCAUGCAACGUUAAAGAUCUGUGCAAGUCCACCUUUGCACCAAUUUAAUAUUUUCCAACAUAAAAUCCAUGCAAUAGGUGAAAAUAAAAUUAGACAUGCAUACCUUUGCCAUCAGCAACACAAUCCAGCAUUUGGCAGAAACCGAACACUAGGCAAACUUCGGACAACAAGAAAAAUUCGAACAUUAAGCACAGUGAAAUCCAACACCUUCCAACAGCCGCCUUCAUACUACAACUAAUGAGUUCUAAGGAGGUUGCAAGUCCACAAAUCUAUGGGUAUGUAUUUGUACCUUCCGAAAUAAUCAAUCCACAUCCGGUGCAAUGCCUUGGUACCGACAUUUAUUUCUAGCUUCCCAAAUGUAAUAGAUUGAGCUAGAGAUUCGAACUUAUACCAAGUGGUACAAGUAUUUGCCCUUCAACCAGUAUGGAAGGAGUAUGCACUUUUUUGUGUGACUAUCUUCUUGCUAUUAUGUUAUAUAUUUUCCUUUAUUAAGUUUUUUUUACUAAUUUUUUGUUGAAUUUUCUAUGGCAUGGAUAACCUUAGCAAGGAAAAGAAGUUGUACGUUAGUUUAUUUCUUUAUAUGGGGAAAAGCUGCCAACAUUAGGUUCCUUCUAGAGUGUGUUGUUACAUAUUUCAUUGUGUAGGUUGAUUCAAUCAAUUACAAGUUAUUCUUGUAAGAAAUACAACUUCACUAGAAACAAAAUCAUUGUGUUGUCAUGCUCAACUGGUCUCUACCAACUUAGUUUUAAGUAUGUCUAUAAUUCUUCUAUGUUCAUGUUGGAUGCAUUAGGUUUUCAUAUUCAUUGUGUAAUUGAUUGCAUGGAUCUUUUCACUAUUAAGCAAACUAAGGGUCCUAUAUUCCUUUUGUGAAAGUUGUCUCUUUAUUUAUUCUAGACUAAAAUAAGUGAAUAAUCACUUAUUCAAAUUAAUUGACACUUCUCAUCUUGUUCACAUAUCUUUGUCAAAUUGGAUAUGCCCCCAUUCAUUAAGGCUACUUAUGCAUGACGGGUGUUGCACUAGUAAUUUCAUAGCUGACUCACAAAACAAUAAUCAUUCAUAAUAUCAUGAUAUACUCUGAUUAGUGUAACCAUCAUGUUGUGCUUGUGUUCUUUUUUGAGAGAGUAUCUCUUAUGUUGUUAAGGUGGAAGUGUGACCUUUUCUAGCAAAGUGUUUUUUUUAUAAUGAAUAUGUGUCUUCUGUAAGUUAUUUUGUUAUCUUUGGCCAAUCUUUAAAUGCAACUUUUUCUUAUGCAAAGAACAUAUGCCCUAUUAGAUUUGUAAUGUUUUUUAAUUGAAGUACUUACAUUAGAGUUUCUGGAACUGUGUUCAUGAUCUUGGUUUAGAUUAACAAUGAAUAUUUUGUUUCAGUAUCAUUAUGCUUUUGUUGCCUUUUCUUGUUGUUAAUCUGACAUUACAAUUCUUUCCCCAUAUGCAGGCUCACAAGGAAAAUGUUAUUUGUCCUAACAAACACCGAUCAGAUUUUGAGAAAUUCUAUAAGAAUCGUCUUCUAUAUAUUGGUGGUCAAAUGCCUUGAAAAUGGUGUCUUUAGAUCAGAUAUUCAUGUCCUAGCAUAUUUUAUUUCUUUCCUUUUGUUGCAAGUUUCAAAUUCUUCACUAUAGGGAUCAUCUUUGGUUGUUAAGUAUUAUUGAUUGUCAAGUCUUGCCAAUUUGAGUGGGUUUUUUCUUUUAGUGCAAGUUUAUAUUGAAUAUGUGAAAUCUAGAAUUAGACCUUUAUUUUAUUGCAUCUUUAAAGGUAAAGCUUUUCUAGCAUUGCUUGUACUACAAUUAUGAAGGGUAUAAUUAUAUUACAUUAACAUGUAUAUUAAUGAAGUUGUUUUCCUAAUGUACAGGACUGUGAUUAUUGUACAAUUGUGGCUCCCUUUCCUUGCUUGCUUGAGAAGUUGGAUUAGCUGCUAUCCUAAAGGGCUUUGUCCUAACAUGUCAAGAUGGAACAACAUAGCUCUCUAUGUCCUUGCACUAAUUUCAAGCAUAGUUUUAAGCAUGGCCAGUAUCAAUGUUUGUACAGAGUAGUAUGGCUGAGGAAUACUAAUGCUUCUGGGCUUUGGUGACAUUGAUCCCAUACAAUUUUACUAGAAUCGAUCUCUCUGACAUAUACAUUGCAAUUUUUCAUUCCUAUGCUUCAUAUGCAAAUCAAACAAGAAAGAGAUAGACCAAAGAAGACUUCAUUAGCUACGAUAAAAUAAGAUAAAAUUUAUUUAAAUAUACACGAUAAUAUAGUA